AAUGAACGCUAGCGGCAGGCUUAAUACAUGCAAGUCGAGAGACAGCACAGGUAGCAAUACUGGGUGGUAACCGGCAAACGGGUGCGGAACACGUACACAACCUUCCUUUAAGUGGGGGAUAGCCCAGAGAAAUUUGGAUUAAUACCCCGUAAUAUAGUUGAAUGGCAUCAUUUGAUUAUUAUAGCUACGGCGCUUAAUGAUGGGUGUGCGGCGUGAUUAGAUAGUUGGCGGGGUAACGGCCCACCAAGUCUACGAUCAGUAGCUGAUGUGAGGGCAUGUUCAGCCACACGGGACAUGGUCCACGGGCCCGACUCCUACGGGAGGCGGCAGUAAGGAAUACUGGUCAAUGGACGCAAGUCUGAACCAGCCAUGCCGCGUGAAGGAUUACGGUCCUCUGGAUUGUAAACUUCUUUUAUUUGGGACGAAAAAGGGCCUUUCUAGGUCAACUGACGGUACCAGAUGAAUAAGCACCGGCUAACUCCGUGCCAGCAGCCGCAGUAAUAC
rnacentral:rRNA from 1 species